rnacentral:tRNA from 1 species
UGGUGGGUAGCCAAGCGGUUGAAGGCGCUAAACAUCCUUGUUCACAACUUGCCUGAAAAGGACGACGAAUUGAGGGUUAUCGUAGUUAGUAAUACAAACAAGUAUUCGCGGGUUCAAAUCCCGCCCCACUAC